GACAGAGGAUGCAAGCGUUAUCCGGAAUGAUUGGGCGUAAAGCGUCUGUAGGUGGCUUUUCAAGUCCGCCGUCAAAUCCCAGGGCUCAACCCUGGAAUGCCGGUGGAUACUGUCGGGCUAGAGUCCGGAAGGGGCGAGUGGAAUUCCUGGUGUAGCGGUGAAAUGCGCAGAUAUCAGGAGGAACACCAAUGGCGAAGGCAGCUCGCUGGGACGUGACUGACGCUGAGACGCGAAAGCGUGGGGAGCAAACAGG
rnacentral:rRNA from 1 species